CACAGUGCUGCCGGAGGAGAUGGGAGCUACACGGUGUACUGAACACCUGCUGCAGAGCAGCCACAUCAUGCCCACACCUGCCAGGACAGCUGGCACCCCGCGUGAGGACAGAGACACAGCCUGCUGUGACGAGCUACCUCUGUUCAUUUGAGCCUGAGAGAAAUUUGGUGUACUGGGGAAAAAACUCCACAAGAUUGUAAGCACAACUGCCAUGCAGAUAGAUGGGACAUAGCUGGGCAGAUAUUAAAAGUGGUCAUCUUGAGACAGUGACGCAUAUUAUUUCUAUUUUCUGGAUUUUUCAUAUUUUCAAUAAUACAACAAACGGGAAGCUCAUUAUUAGAUCCACUCUACUAAUCUUUGCUGGAGAACUUUAAGUCACAGACUCAGAGGCUUCCCAGACACAUGGAUGAGCAUCCUAGGGAAGAAGCAGAGUGAGCCUCUGGGGAGUCAGUGCAUGGACAUCUCUAGAAGUUUCUAUGGGGAAGAAACCUUGGCAAAGACUUUGGAAUCACAUCACUUGAAUAUAUUCAAGGACCUUCCUGUUUUCUUCAGGGUCAUAAAACUCUCCUUAAAAAGGGAUUUAUGCUUUUUAUGUCUUUUCCACAAACCAUGCUUGGAUGGAUACUUUAAAAAGAUUUCAACAGUUGAAAAGUACACAGAGCGGAACGGGAAAGAAGCAUUUGCCAUCCUCGCCUGUGAUGAUGUCAGCAUAAUGCUGGGGUGUCUGAGGAGUAUUGGUAAAGAAAUUGUUAAAGAAAUAAAAGCUUCUGAAGCUGUUAAUUAGACUUAUUCUCUCAUUUCUUCACUGAUUUCUUUAUUUAUUUUUAUUCAAGGUCAUGCUCAAAGUCCUAGCCUACUUGGCUGCUAAUUUUAGUCUUCUAUUUUAUUGUAGCAAGAAUAUUUAAUAAGAAAGCUACCCUCAUAAAUUUUUCAAUGUAAAAUACAGUAUUGUUGGCUAUAGAAACAGUGUUGUGCAGUGGCUCCCUCUAAGGAUACAUCUUGCAUGCUUGAGAUUUUAUUCCCAUUGAUUAGCAAGUCCCCAUUUCUGCCUCCCCCCAGCCCCAG
rnacentral:lncRNA from 1 species